rnacentral:tRNA from 1 species
AAAUAGGUAAGCUAAGUCAAUAAGCUUUUGGGCUCAUAACCCAACAAUGGAAAUUUCCUCUAUUUA